rnacentral:rRNA from 1 species
GAUGAACGCUAGCGGCAGGCCUAACACAUGCAAGUCGAGGGGCAGCACGUCUUCGGAUGGUGGCGACCGGCGCACGGGUGCGUAACGCGUAUGCAACCUACCUCUUACAGUGGGAUAGCCCAGAGAAAUUUGGAUUAAUACCGCAUAGUAUACAGAUUCAGCAUUGGGACUGUAUUAAACAUUUAUGGGUAAGAGAUGGGCAUGCGUUCUAUUAGUUAGUUGGAGUGGUAACGGCACCCCAAGACAGCGAUAGAUAGGGGCCCUGAGAGGGGGAUCCCCCGACACUGGUACUGAGACACGGACCAGACUCCUACGGGAGGCAGCAGUGAGGAAUAUUGGACAAUGGGCGAGAGCCUGAUCCAGCCAUGCCGCGUGCAGGAAGACGGCCCUA